CACCGGCGGACGGCUCAGUAACACGUGGACAACCUGCCCUCGGGAGGGGGAUAACCCCGGGAAACUGGGGCUAAACCCCCAUAGGAGAUGGAUACUGGAAUGUUCCAUCUCCGAAAGUCCGCAAGGAGCCCGAGGAUGGGUCUGCGGCGGAUUAGGUAGUUGGUGGGGUAACGGCCUACCAAGCCUAAGAUCCGUACGGGCCAUGGGAGUGGGAGCCCGGAGAUGGACCCUGAGACAAGGGUCCAGGCCCUACGGGGCGCAGCAGGCGCGAAACCUCCGCAAUGCGGGAAACCGCGACGGGGUCAGCCGGAGUGCCGAUGCUUGCAUCGGCUGUCGGGGAGCCUAAAAAGCUCCCCAUAGCAAGGGCCGGGCAAGGCCGGUGGCAGCCGCCGCGGUAAUACCGGCGGCCCGAGUGGCGGUCACUAUUAUUGGGCUUAAAGCGUCCGUAGCCGGGUUGGGAAGUCCUCCGGGAAAUCUGGCCGCUUAACGGUCAGAAUGCCGGAGGAUACUCCCAGCCUAGGGAGCGGGAGAGGCCGAGGGUAUUCCCGGAGUAGGGGUGAAAUCCUAUAAUCCCGGGAGGACCACCUGUGGCGAAGGCGC
rnacentral:rRNA from 1 species